ACGAACGCUGGCGGCAUGCCUAACACAUGCAAGUCGAACGAGACCUUCGGGUCUAGUGGCGCACGGGUGCGUAACGCGUGGGAACCUGCCCUUAGGUUCGGAAUAACUCCCCGAAAGGGGUGCUAAUACCGGAUAAUGUCUUCGGACCAAAGAUUUAUCGCCUUUGGAUGGGCCCGCGUUGGAUUAGCUAGUUGGUAGGGUAAAAGCCUACCAAGGCGACGAUCCAUAGCUGGUCUGAGAGGAUGAUCAGCCACACUGGGACUGAGACACGGCCCAGACUCCUACGGGAGGCAGCAGUGGGGAAUAUUGGACAAUGGGCGAAAGCGUGAUCCAGCAAUGCCGCGUGAGUGAUGAAGGCCUUAGGGUUGUAAAGCUCUUUUACCCGGGAUGAUAAUGACAGUACCGGGAGAAUAAGCGCCGGCUAACUACGUG
rnacentral:rRNA from 1 species